GUACCAUGCAGUCGACGGUAGCACAGAGGAGCUUGCUCCUUGGGUGACGAGUGGCGGACGGGUGAGUAAUGUCUGGGAAACUGCCCGAUGGAGGGGGAUAACUACUGGAAACGGUAGCUAAUACCGCAUAACGUCGCAAGACCAAAGAGGGGGACCUUCGGGCCUCUUGCCAUCGGAUGUGCCCAGAUGGGAUUAGCUAGUAGGUGGGGUAACGGCUCACCUAGGCGACGAUCCCUAGCUGGUCUGAGAGGAUGACCAGCCACACUGGAACUGAGACACGGUCCAGACUCCUACGGGAGGCAGCAGUGGGGAAUAUUGCACAAUGGGCGCAAGCCUGAUGCAGCCAUGCCGCGUGUAUGAAGAAGGCCUUCGGGUUGUAAAGUACUUUCAGCGAGGAGGAAGGUGUUGUGGUUAAUAACCGCAGCAAUUGACGUUACUCGCAGAAAAAGCACCGGCUAACUCCGUGCCAGCAGCCGCGGUAAUACGGAGGGUGCAAGCGUUAAUCGGAAUUACUGGGCGUAAAGCGCACGCAGGCGGUCUGUCAAGUCGGAUGUGAAAUCCCCGGGCUCAACCUGGGAACUGCAUCCGAAACUGGCAGGCUAGAGUCUUGUAUAGGGGGGUAGAAUUCCAGGUGUAGCGGUGAAAUGCGUAUAGAUCUGGAGGAAUACCGGUGGCGAAGGCGGCCCCCUGGACAAAGACUGACGCUCACGUGCGAAAGCGUGUGGAGCAAACAGGAUUAGAUACCCUGGUAGUCCACGCCGUAAACGAUGUCGACUUGUAGGUUGUGCCCUUGAGGCGUGUCUUCCGGAGCUAACGCGUUAAGUCGACCGCCUGGGGGAGUACGGCCGCAAGGUGAAAACUCAAAUGAAUUGACGGGGGGCCCGCACAGCGGUGGAGCAUGUGAUGUAUUCUAUGCAAAGCGAAGAACAUACCUACUCUUGACUCCAUAGAACUUCUAGAGAGGCUUUGGGGCCUUCUGGGAACUCUGAGACAGUGCUGCAUGGUGUGUCUUCUCUU
rnacentral:rRNA from 1 species